GACGAACGCUGGCGGCGUGCCUAAUACAUGCAAGUAGAACGCUGAAGGAGGAGCUUGCUUCUCCGGAUGCGUUGCGAACGGGUGAGUAACGCGUAGGUAACCUGCCUGGUAGCGGGGGAUAACUAUUGGAAACGAUAGCUAAUACCGCAUAACAGUAGAUGUUGCAUGACAUUUGCUUAAAAGGUGCAAUUGCAUCACUACCAGAUGGACCUGCGUUGUAUUAGCUAGUUGGUGAGGUAACGGCUCACCAAGGCGACGAUACAUAGCCGACCUGAGAGGGUGAUCGGCCACACUGGGACUGAGACACGGCCCAGACUCCUACGGGAGGCAGCAGUAGGGAAUCUUCGGCAAUGGACGGAAGUCUGACCGAGCAACGCCGCGUGAGUGAAGAAGGUUUUCGGAUCGUAAAGCUCUGUUGUAAGAGAAGAACGAGUGUGAGAGUGGAAAGUUCACACUGUGACGGUAUCUUGCCAGAAAGGGACGGCUAACUACGUG
rnacentral:rRNA from 1 species